UACGUAGGUGGCGAGCGUUGUCCGGAUUUACUGGGCGUAAAGAGCGCGCAGGCGGUCGUUCAAGUCGAAUGUGAAAGCCCCCGGCUUAACUGGGGAGGGUCAUUCGAUACUGAUCGACUAGAAGGCAGGAGAGGGAAGCGGAAUUCCCGGUGUAGUGGCGAAAUGCGUAGAUAUCGGGAGGAACACCAGUGGCGAAGGCGGCUUCCUGGCCUGUUCUUGACGCUGAGGCGCGAAAGCCAGGGGAGCGAACGGG
rnacentral:rRNA from 1 species